CCAGACUCCUACGGGAGGCAGCAGUGGGGAAUAUUGCACAAUGGGGGAAACCCUGAUGCAGCGACGCCGCGUGAGUGAUGAAGUAUUUCGGUAUGUAAAGCUCUAUCAGCAGGGAAGAUAAUGACGGUACCUGACUAAGAAGCUCCGGCUAAAUACGUGCCAGCAGCCGCGGUAAUACGUAUGGAGCAAGCGUUAUCCGGAUUUACUGGGUGUAAAGGGAGCGCAGACGGCAGGGCAAGUCUGAUGUGAAAGUCCGGGGCUCAACCCCGGGACUGCAUUGGAAACUGGCAUGCUGGAGUGCCGGAGGGGCAAGCGGAAUUCCUAGUGUAGCGGUGAAAUGCGUAGAUAUUAGGAGGAACACCGGUGGCGAAGGCGGCUUGCUGGACGGUAACUGACGUUGAGGCUCGAAAGCGUGGGGAGCAAACAGGAUUAGAUACCCCGGUA
rnacentral:rRNA from 1 species